UACGGAGGGUGCAUGCGUUGCUCGGAAUUAUUGGGCGUAAAGGGUAGGUAGGUGGUCUCAUUUGUCUGGGGUGAAAUCCUUGAGCUUAACUCAAGAAGUGCCCUAGAAACGGUGAGACUUAGAGUCCUGGAGAGGUUAGUGGAAUUCCCGGUGUAGCGGUGAAAUGCGUAGAGAUCGGGAGGAACACCUGUGGCGAAAGCGGCUCACUAGACCACAACUGACGCUGAGGCGCGAAAGCUAGGGGAGCAAACAGG
rnacentral:rRNA from 1 species